UACGAAGGGGGCUAGCGUUGCUCGGAAUGACUGGGCGUAAAGGGCGCGUAGGCGGCUUGCACCGUCAGAUGUGAAAUUCCUGGGCUUAACCUGGGGGCUGCAUUUGAUACGUGUGGGCUUGAGUGCGGAAGAGGGUCGUGGAAUUCCCAGUGUAGAGGUGAAAUUCGUAGAUAUUGGGAAGAACACCAGUGGCGAAGGCGGCCAUCUGGGACAACACUGACGCUGAAGCACGAAAGCGUGGGGAGCAAACAGG
rnacentral:rRNA from 1 species